ensembl:lncRNA
CUCACUGAAAAUGCUGCUCCCCUCUAGUUUUCUGUUAGUGCCUCUGCACCCCAAAAGCAUCAUUCUCUACCCAACAACAUUGCAGCCCCCCCCAGGGCCCAUGGCAUUCAGUAGCUUUUGGCUGGAGGUGCGAAGAUUCAGGUGUGGGCAUUGAAGGGUGACAGUUGGGCAGUGUCUCAAGGUCAUGCACAAUUCUAGCUGGAGUUUGAGGAAGUGAUAAUGAAGUGCCUCCUCUGGUGUGGUGUGGUGCCUGGAGUUUUCCCACUCCCCUGUGUCAGAUUAGGGAGCUGACUCCCCUCCUACAAUUUGUUCUCUUCCCUGCCAGUGAAUAAAGUGCCUUGCCAGUCCAACUGGGCCACUGGGCCUUUUUCCAUCCCUUUACAAGUAGUGCUUUGCUUUCACUUUUGCUGAUUUGGGCAUGGCUACCAAGAGGCUUUUGCCUUUGCCUUAUGUUGAAACACCUUCAAUUUAAUGUGUGUGGGGGUUCAGUGUAUCUGGUUAACUACACAAUCUUUCUCUGAUUUCCAACAGGGCCUCCUCAAGCUCUUCCCUUUUCCCUCCAUGUUAAUUCUGGCAGCUACUUAAGUAAUUGCUUUCCAUGCGGCUGCAAAGGAUCACACUGUGCCACACCCUGGGGGUAUGCAGCUCCUCUCCUGCUCUCCAGCCACAUCCCCACACUCCAGAAAGUAUCACAGUCCAAGCUCUCUUCUGCCUAAGGCUUGCAUCACUCAGCUGGGAGUGGGAGGCUUUCCAUCUGGGCUGGAAGAGUAAGUGGUGGGGAGAGUAUCCCAAGGAUGCAGAACUCCCUGGUGUGUAGGGGAGAAAUGCAACAGUGCCUGCCUUGGCACUGCUCAACUGUCUUUCCUCCCUGGGAUCACACAAGUUACAACCACUGCUCACCUCUGCACUACUCUGAGAGUUGCUCUGUGUAUGGUUCUAGGUGCUAAGGAUCCUGCCCUUGUUUUUAGUUUCCCAAAGUCCACCAGUCCUAACUCAGUCACUGCCCUCUGAGUGAUACUCUGGAUUCUGGUCCCUCCAGUGUCUUCAUCUGUGAAGAUUCACUUUGCCAUGCUCUCUCUCCCCAUGAGCAGGGCUACUGGCCCACUGAAGAGAAGAUUAGGAUGAGUGCCUGGCUCCUUCAGUCAGGGCAUUAGAUCCUCCCCCAGGAUGGUGUGUUUGCCAUGCUGAAGGAAUAAGAAGGGCUCCAUCAGUUCCUUCCUGUAUAUGGGUCACUUCCCCUUUUCUGAGGGUUCAUACUUCCCAGUUCAAGCUUCCAACCUCACCAUAUGCACGGCCACCUCUGGCCAGCCAUGAUUGCAUGAUUCUAUUUAUGAGAAAUGUGCAAAACUGACAAAAAAGCUAAUUGAUGGUUUCCAAGGACUGGAAAAGAAAGUAAAAGGAGAAUAACAGUCUAGGGUAAAAGGAUUUUAGAGGAGUGAAUACGUUUUUCUAAAUUUAUAUCAUGUUAAUGGUGGAACAACUCAAUUAAUAUAACAAAACUGUUUUUACAAUUUGCUAGAGUAAUUUUAAGCAAGUAAUAAAGAGUUCACUAGUACACAUAUAUGCAUAGACACACACAUGCACUCAUGCAGGCGCCUAUGCAUUUAUAUGCAAAUGAAUCGAGAUGGUGUUGGGUCUAGUUUGCUAAAAAGCUUAAAUAUAAUUCUCAUUCAUGCCCUACCGAGGUCCUGAGUCGCACAGAACAUGGUGAAUCAGCCCUCCUCAGACAGACAGGUCUGUCCAUGCCCUACUGAGGACCUGAGUCGCAAGGAAGACACUGAAUCACCCUGCUGCAGAUAAGCAGCCACCUGGUUCCACACUAGGAAGGGGCAGAGGACACCAGACCACCAGACCAAGAUUUGGAUGUUCCCAAUAUUGAUCAAUGGCUGCAUCACAUCAUGUGCAGAGACAGACAUCACUUCAUGCAGGAAGACAGUGGAGGGAAAUCUCCCAUUUUAUUAGGUAGGAAGUAGAAAUAGAAGAAAUGAUGGAGCACUCCAGUCUUCUUUCACAGGACAACUUUAAUGAGCCCCACCUUUAAAGUGUUCCUCCAUCUGCCAACAGAAUCAUCCUUGGGACCAAGCCUUCAUAGCAUGGGCACUGGGAGAGGAACUUAUCCAAACCAUUGCAGUGAAUAAAAUGUGCAUGCUUAGAAACCCAAAUAUUGCCCACACCUAAGCACCUGCAUUAUUUUUGGAUUCUUAUGGAC